rnacentral:rRNA from 1 species
CCGCCGAAGACACCCUCGAACUCUGUCUGAAGAUUGUAGUCUGAGUGAAAAUAUAAAUUAUUUAAAACUUUCAACAACGGAUCUCUUGGUUCCGGCAUCGAUGAAGAACGCAGCGAAAUGCGAUACGUAAUGUGAAUUGCAAAUUCAGUGAAUCAUCGAGUCUUUGAACGCACAUUGCGCCCCCUGGUAUUCCGGGGGGCAUGCCUGUCCGAGCGUCAUUGCUGCCCUCAAGCACGGCUUGUGUGUUGGGCCCCGUCCUCCGAUCCCGGGGGACGGGCCCGAAAGGCAGCGGCGGCACCGCGUCCGGUCCUCGAGCGUAUGGGGCUUUGUCACCCGCUCUGUAGGCCCGGCCGGCGCUUGCCGAUCAAC